GACGAACCGUGCGAACGUUGUUCGGAAUCACUGGGCGUAAAGAGCGUGUAGGCGGCCAACUAAGUCCUGCGUGAAAUCUCGGGGCUCAACCCCGAGCGGUCGUGGGAAACUGGUUGGCUAGAGUGCGGGAGAGGAGAGUGGAAUUCCUGGUGUAGCGGUGAAAUGCGCAGAUAUCAGGAAGAACACCCGUGGCGAAGGCGGCUCUCUGGAACGCAACUGACGCUGAGACGCGAAAGCGUGGGGAGCAAACAGG
rnacentral:rRNA from 1 species